rnacentral:rRNA from 1 species
AUUGAACGCUGGCGGCAUGCCUUACACAUGCAAGUCGAACGGUAACAGGUCUUCGGAUGCUGACGAGUGGCGAACGGGUGAGUAAUACAUCGGAACGUGCCCGAUCGUGGGGGAUAACGGAGCGAAAGCUUUGCUAAUACCGCAUACGAUCUACGGAUGAAAGCAGGGGACCGCAAGGCCUUGCGCGGACGGAGCGGCGCAUGGCAGAUUAGGUAGUUGGUGGGAUAAAAGCUUACCAAGCCGACGAUCUGUAGCUGGUCUGAGAGGGCGACCAGCCACACUGGGACUGAGACACGGCCCAGACUCCUACGGGAGGCAGCAGUGGGGAAUUUUGGACAAUGGGCGAAAGCCUGAUCCAGCCAUGCCGCGUGCAGGAUGAAGGCCUUCGGGUUGUAAACUGCUUUUGUACGGAACGAAAAGACUCUUUCUAAUAAAGAGGGUCCAUGACGGUACCGUAAGAAUAAGCACCGGCUAACUACGUGCCAGCAGCCGCCGUAA